rnacentral:lncRNA from 1 species
GUUGCCAUAACUAUACAAUUAACUACAAGAUUAAUUAUGAAUGUACUCAGUGCAAAACCAGGUAAGACCUGUCCCCUCAGACUUUCCAGUCUGGCCUCUAAGUGGCUCUUGUAGUGACUAUAGGAAUAAAUUGAAGGGUGUCUGAUUUGAAGAGUGAACCUAUUUCUUUCCAUGUUCUCUUUCUCGAUUCCCUAUUCCUUUUUUUCUUUUUUGUUUUGUUACUGGGGAUUGAUUCCAGGGACACUUUACCACUAGGCUACAUCCCCAGCCCUUUUUUAAAAAUUUUGAGACAGCAUCUCACUAAGUUGCUUUGUGUCUUGCUAAGUUGCUGAGGCUGGUCUCAAACUUGCCAUCUUCCUGCCUCAGCCUCCCAAGUCACUGAAAUUACAAGAAGUGCCACCACACCGAGCCCUUAUUCCUGUAUUCCUGUUUCUGUCCCCUAACCUUCUCUAUAUUACUCUUAUCCCUAAUUUGAGCUAGCCCAACCCCUCUGCUGCUUGUGGCCCCAUUCUCUGAGAACCUGCAGGAAAUUUUCUCUUUGUGCUCAAGGCUAACAUCUCAGAGCUAAUGCUGAGGUACAGUGACUGAUUUCUUUGUUGUGUAAUGUCCCUUUUCUCACUAGGGUUGGCCACUACACCAAAUCGUUGAACACAGAACGCUUUAUCUGUGCCAGAUGCAGAGGGCCCCUGGUCAUGCUGCCAUUAACUCGUAAAGAUGGAACCCCCAUUGAGCCCCAUGUGAGACCAUUUGCCAAAUAUGUGCAGGAGAAUUACCGAGUGGUGUUUCAAGGGACAGCUGGGAUCAGCCAUGGGGAUGUGAUGAGAAAGCUCAGCAAGGAUUAUGUUGCCAGUAAACAAAAGAAGAAUCCUUAGAGUAUGUUUAUAUGAGCUGAAUCCUUUACUGAUGAAAAGUUUUAGAAAAAAGUCUCUAUUAUUGUGCAGUUAUGAAUAUUAGAGUUUAAAUACAUGUUUUAAGAUUCUUGUUAUUCAUGAUUUUUGUUCUUAACUAAGGGUUCUAUUGCUAGUCAUUUUGUCCAGGACCAUACCCUGAAACAUUCCGGAUCCACCUUGGGUCUUAUUUUGAAUGCAAGUUUUAAAAUGUAGAAGAAAAUAGAGAAGAAAAAUGAGUUUUUGAGAGUGGCAGGUUGAGAGAAUGAAAAGGAUACUGGGAAGAGAACAAGUUUUAAAAGCAGCAGUUUACACAGGACUGUUGUCAGAUGUAACCUGCUAAACCCACCUAGACAGAAAAG